rnacentral:rRNA from 1 species
UACGUAGGCAGCAAGCGUUGUUCGGAGUUACUGGGCGUAAAGGGUGUGUAGGCGGUUUUCUAAGUCUGGGGUGAAAUCUCCCGGCUCAACUGGGAGGGUGCGCCGAAAACUGGAAGGCUAGAGUGCGGGAUGGGAGAGUGGAAUUCCUGGUGAAGCGGUGAAAUGCGUAGAUAUCAGGAGGAACACCUGUGGUGUAGACGGCUCUCUGGACCGCAACUGACGCUGAGACACGAAAGCGUGGGUAGCAAACAGG